GCGACUUUGAUCUCGUUUGUGUGUGGAGAUCUCAAUGGGAAGGAGGAAUUAAGUCUAAUUCGUCUCUUUCUUCAUUUUUGCAGUUUGUCCAGCUGGUUGUUGAAUAGGUAUCAAUGAAGACCCCCCGUUCCAAUAUAGAAGUUUCAAUGUUAUCCUCAAGAUGAAGGAUACUAUACUACCCCCUAAACUGCUAUAGCUCCAAUAAAAUAGCUAUAAGUAUUUAUGUAAUCAACUAACCAAUUGGUAUUUAGAAAAAUCGCUGUGUAUGUUCUAUGUUGGAGUACGGAAGACCAUUGACUGUUGUAGGGUUAUGGAAAACAAGAAUAAUCAAUCAUGGUGCUGACGACCAUUAUUACAUUACAAUCUUAUUUUAUUAAUGCAUUUUCACAUAAAUGAUAAAUCUCUCUUUACACUCA